AGCCUGAUGGAGCACGACGCGUGAGGGACGAAGGCCUCUGGGCUGUUAACCUCUUUUCUCGGGGAAGAAGUUAUGAAGGUACUUGAGGAAUAAGCCACGGCUAAUUCCGUGCCAACAGCCGCGGUGAUACCGGAGUGGCAAGCGUUAUCCGGAAUUAUUGGGCGUAAAGCGUCCGCAGGCGGCCUUUCAAGUCUGCUGUUAAAGCGUGGAGCUUAACUCCAUUAUGGCAGUGGAAACUGAUCGGCUUGAGUAUGGUAGGGGCAGAGGGAAUUCCCAGUGUAGCGGUGAAAUGCGUAGUUAUCGGGAAGAACACCAGUGGCGAAGGCGCUCUGCUGGGCCAUUACUGACGCUCAUGGACGAAAGCCAGGGGAGCGAAAGGGAUUAGAUACCCCUGUAGUCCUGGCCGUAAACGAUGAACACUAAGUGUCGGGGGAAUCGACCCCUUCGGUGUCGUAGCUAACGCGUUAAGUGUUCCGCCUGGGGAGUACGCACGCAAGUGUGAAACUCAAAUGAAUUGACGG
rnacentral:rRNA from 1 species